rnacentral:ncRNA from 1 species
UUGAAGGAUUAUAUCGAAGAAUCAAAUGAUAGGGUAACGCCUUGAAGGGUUCUCUCUGAGUCGAUUAGCACUGGAUUUAGUAAGAAUAAUAGUGUUAUAAGCUCGGCAAAAAGGCGUAAGAAUUUACCGUAUCAGUUCGGCUGACGAAAGCCUACCCGCGGGGGUGGUGUAACUCAUGAUGCUUGAGUUGAAUGA